rnacentral:rRNA from 1 species
UACGUAGGUGGCGAGCGUUGCCCGGAUUUAUUGGGCGUAAAGGGCGCGCAGGUGGUGCGGUAAGACUGCCGUGAAAUCUCCCGGCUCAACUGGGAGGGGGCGGUGGAGACUGCCGGACUAGAGGCACUCAGAGGCCGGUGGAAUUCCCGGUGUAGUGGUGAAAUGCGUAGAGAUCGGGAGGAACACCAGUGGCGAAGGCGGCCGGCUGGGGGUGACCUGACGCUGAGGCGCGAAAGCGUGGGGAGCGAACCGG